rnacentral:tRNA from 1 species
CAGUUAAUAGUUUAUUAAAAUUUAGUUUUUGGGGAACUAUAAUGUGUAAGUUACACUUAACUGA